UACGUAGGGGGCGAGCGUUAUCCGGAGUUACUGGGCGUAAAGCGCACGCAGGCGGUCAGAUUAGUCUGUCGUGACAGUCGUCGGCUUAACUGACGAAGUACGGUGGAAACUGUCUGACUUGAGGGCUUCAGAGGGACACGGAAUUCCGGGUGGAGUGGUGAAAUGCGUAGAUAUCCGGAGGAACACCGAUGGCGAAGGCAGUGUCCUGGGAAGUACCUGACGCUCAGGUGCGAAAGCUAGGGGAGCGAACAGG
rnacentral:rRNA from 1 species